rnacentral:rRNA from 1 species
UGAGGAACAUGACCUUCGGCGGGGGAUAGCCGGCCCAACGGCCGGGUAAUACCGCGUACGACCACUUUGGGACAUCCCUCGGUGGUGAAAGCAGCAAUGCGCCGAUGGAGUGCCUCGCGGCCUAUCAGCUAGUUGGCGGGUAAUGGCCCACCAAGGCGACGACGGGUAGCCGGCCUGAGAGGGUGACCGGCCACACUGGGACUGAGACACGGCCCAGACCUCCGUACGGGGAGCAG